AACUGUUGCCCUCCCCAACCUGUUUAUAACAUUGAUACGCUUAAGGAAACACACUAGACUAGAACCUGGCGCAUUCGUUUUCGAAUGAAUGAUUGAUCUUUUAUUGAUCAGAAGACACCCGUUUAUUGAGACCGUUCUUUUUGGUGACAGGUGUAACUAUGUUGCUUAUGAGUCAAAGACCAGUUGCUUAUUAUUAUUAUUAUUAUUUAUUUUAUUUUUUAUUUUUUACAUUGAGUUAUGCAAUAUUACAUAAAAGUGGUGUAUAGAAAGUAAUUUCGUUUUCAAAUAAUAAUAUAAAAAAAAACACUUAUUUGUCCAGCCGGAUCAAAUCCAGUGUGAUGUAACAAAUAGGAAGGUCAUUUUGGUGUUUUGUGAUCGCCUUAGACUCUCAUGACUAUGUGUCAGGUCAUUAAAAAUCUGCAUUGACCCUUAGAUUAUAGACAACAGACAAGAUAAGCAUUGUGAAAAUUUGGCUGAGCUGAAGAAAUGUUGGUUUGUAUAUUACAGCUUCCUGGUUCCCAAGUUCCAUUCACAUCAGUUGUUCAAUGGAUCUGAUUUGUAUCAGAUAUAAGGAGACAAAGUUCCAGUGUGUGCUGGGCUGUGCUGAGGUAAUAAGAAGUGGUGGGACAUGCAUGAGGGGUUCACUGUUCUAACUGAAGAUGAAGCUGGUAAAGACAGGACCAUAUAGCUUGGAAGACUGUUACACAGGAGCAGCUCUAUUCUACAGCUCUGAGAGAAGACACUCCACUUACACAAGUCAUGACUGUGUGGAGGUAGCCAGCGGUCAGCACCUUAAGAACAGAUAUAUCCAUGACACUCAAACUCUGUUCACUUUCUCUUUAAACGAGGGAAAGGAAACAGACCCAAGUCUUCCAAAUUAGCUCUGCAAAUAUUUGCCGGAAUGGGGCUAGUGGUUUUGUGCCCAUUUCAAAAGCAAAUUUAACAGACAUGGUGUUUGGUGUUGAUUUAUUUUUUUAUUAUUUAUGUCUGUAAAUAUCAAAGUAUUUUAGGUUUGUUGGUUGGUAUGUCCUCAUUUGGAACAAGGAGUAAAAGAGUGUAAUUGAGCGGAUGAGGAAAACACUCUUUCAAUCAAACUCACUCUCAUUUUGACCAUUUGGUACAGAUUAACUGGACCAAUCCAUCCGUUCUCCAAACCUCUUGACCCAUGCAGGAUCACAGGAAAUCCAACAAGCCAGUACAUCAGAGGGCUAACAUAAAUAGACAUACAUAUAUUAAUUCACAUCUAUUGGCAUUUUUGGCUCUGUAAUUCACCUGCAUCACUUUGGAUUGUGGGGAAAACUGGAGCAGCCAGAGGAAAUCAAUGCCAACACAGAUAAAACAUGCAAACUCCCCACAGAAAGGCCUCAUUGCUCAGCAGGGAGUCCCAGGCUGUGUGGCGACAGUACUACCCAAUGAGCCACCAUGCCGCCCUGUAUCUGGACCAUUAAUCUAAAUAUAUUCUUGACAUGAAAUAAGCACUUCAUGAAUUACAGUCACCAAAGUCUUAAAAAAACUGUGUCAAACUCUCCUCUAAACUUGGUGACUAACUUCCACUAGCUCACCUUCCACAGAUUUAAUUUACAGGUACUGUAAAGUCCCAUGGAAACCAGGUAUGUGUGAGCAAUUCCAGCAUGCAUAAAUGGAAUGCAACUUGUUUUUAAAUUUUUGCAUCUUGACUAUGAAAGAUCACAGAGACACAAUUACAGAGUGUGUGGAUCCCACUGAGCAUGUCCUCUUCCCUUUGAUGGAUGUAAAUAAAGACAUGGCUCCUUGCAGGCCUGCCUAUUGAACUUGGCUGUUGACAAUGCCUCAGAAGUGGUCAGAUCCAGUCAGAAAUCCCUCCUGCCCUCAAGAAAAGAGCCCACGUCCUUAAAGGCAACGCAGCAGUGGCUGUUCCCUGUCAACCGGGCGAUGGCAGUGGUUCAGUCACCAACCCAGGCUCUUUUAGUGAGAGUCCAUUGAUGUAGCAGAGUUAUUAAUUUGCCCUGUGAAAUAAGAGGACACCCGGGCCAAAACAGAGGGAGAUGGGUGCCUUUCAAAUAAUGCCAGCCAGGGAGCCUUUCAUCUGCUGUCAUUGGGGUGAGUGAACUGGGUCUGCUGGGUUCUCACAUGGGCACCAGUGCUACCCACGGAACUAACCAACAAAGGGUGGGCAGGAGAGACAGGGAGAAUGAGUGCCGAGGGGGAGGAGGAGAAAGAGAGAGAGAAAGAGCGUGGGCAACUUGGUGUUUCUCCACUAUUAACUGGUAAACAACUCUGUUUUUAGUUGUUUUCGUUCUUUGGAAUGGCGUACUUGUGGAUUGUGGUGGGAUUUGGUGUUCUGUGAGCCACUCUUUCAAUCCCCUGAAGGUAAUAGCAGCUUUUUCCCCCUCACCACUUCCUGCUGUCCCUAAAAACUUCAGGGGAAAGAGGGGCAGUGCCCUCAAACUGCAUGAUAAACUAUGUGGGGUCCUAACACCCCCCCUACUCCAGCAAUUCUCUCUACGUUGGAAGCCAAAGGCAAUUUUACAAUUAAACACUCUUAUAAAAUUGCAAAGGAAAAACCUUUAAAGAAAAAAUGUUGCACCUUACCUACCCUUAAAACAGGGAUACUGAAUUCUGCUCCUGGAAGGUCACUAUCAUGCAGAGUUUAGUUUCAAUAAUAAUCCAAUUGGAUCUAAACUCUGCAGGACUUUGGCCCUCCAGGAGCAGGAUUGGACAAUGCUGCCCUAACCGUUGCAUAUUAGCACCUUAGAUUACCCUUAAAGUACUACCAUGAACCUUUUAAGUUUAAAUAAGGUACAAUCGCUUUGAGGGUACUGCCUUAGUGACAAGCUUCGUUUUUUGCAGUUUUUCUCAGAGUGAAAGGUGUGUCCCAUUUUGCAAACUUUUACACUGUUCUGCGCCACAUUGUAGCAAAAUAGUGUUAGUGUGUUAAAACACAUGAGAAAGUGCAACAUUUGAGACAACACUAUCUUUCUAAAAUUCCAUUAAUUAAUUAAUUUAAUUAAUUAAACCUGUUGCUCAUGUCAUUACAUGACAUGGUGUGUAGUUUAGGUGCACAAUCUAUAAUAUAUCAUUUACGACAGAACUUUUGUUAAGGGCACCUGAAUCCCAACUUCACUCGAAGUCUCUGGAGGCCUCUGUUUUGAUUGGAGCAGAGAUAGAAGAUGUCACUGAAUUCAUUCAUGCAUGCAGAGGGCUGUGCAAUGUCAAUGUCCAAUUACUCCAUUCCUCCACAUGCAGUGGAGCACGAGGAGUGGUUGGGGCAGUCACAGCUGGAGCAAGCAGGGAAAAAAUAAUACCAGAGAUGUAUAAAAGCAGAGGCUAAAAGCAGCCUGAGCUAGCCGCCUGCUAAAAAAACAAAGCACUGCCCAGGGGACAAGCACAGGGUCGGGCAGUGUGGACCGGACUCGCCACAGCCGCGACUCCACACGUUAGUGCUGCUGCCAAAUGGCUGUAAUUGAGGCCUAAAGUCAAGAGCCCUGAAUAACUCAAUGCAUCAAUAGCAGCCUGUGGGACCUCCCCCCUCUAUGGUUCUCUUUACCUUCAUUACCGACCUGAAACCUCAGGUCUCUUUUUUUUCCACGGAUGAGCUGAAACCUCAAUCACCUCCAUGGCUGUGAUGACCUUUACUCUUGGCUGAAUAUAUGAGAUGAUGGGAUGAAAGUGGGUUUCAGUGUUUCUGUUUCUAGAAUAACCUCUUUUGAAACUUUCUUUUGUGUUUGGGAUUAAGGAAUUUUAACUCAUGCAGCGUGUUUUGAAGCCCACUUCAAAUAUAUUGCUUAUUCAUACACCAGAAAUUAGUUUAAGAUGUCACUCUGAUUAUGGCCUAUCCUAAAAGAACCCGAAAGAAGUCAAAGCUGUUUGUGAUUCACAGGGAUCUUAAUAACGAUAAACGUAGUGAUCAUUAUUUUGAUGAUUGUCCAGUGUUGUUUUGCUUAACCGAUAGCUGUCGAGGGAUCCAUCCUAAUGGCAGCGUUUAAAAUGAAGUAGGGCACAUGCUGCACAUUUCUGCCUGUUUAUUGGUUCUACUGGGUUCUUCUCUCAGGCUUCAGAGGCCUGGGCUGCUUUUUUCCUGCACGCAUGCCACAGCUGUGGUCACUGUGGUGAUGUUUCACUGCUCAGAAUGGAUUCACCAGCUCAAAAACGUUCUUAUUAUAUUUAUAUUUUACUAUACCGCUGCUGCCCUCGCCAGCUGUGUACUGGCUAACAGCCUGUUUCCUUUAAAUAGGCUGUGACAAUAUGAUUAAACAGCUAAAAUGAAGGUAAACAUCAACAUUCAGUGCCCAGUAUUGACAUAGAGCCCACAAGCAAAAAAGGCUGGAUUUUAGGCCUCAGUUUUUGCUGAGAGGCAAGACUGAGGUAAAAGGCAAUAGUACAAUGAUUUCUCAGUGAGCAGGAAAUUAAGUUUGAUAUUAUGUCAGAAGCUGUCAAGCUUGUUUAAUUGUACACCUGCCAAUGCAAAUAUUUCUGCACUUUAAAGUAAUCAUUCAAGCAUCCCAAGGUUGGAUUGAUCUUCAUGAAACUUAUGGAUCUAUUCAUGGAUUUUUGUUCUGAAAGGUGGUGCUUGAAGAAACACAGAGGAAGAGGACAGAAAGGAUAGAGAGGUGAGAGGGAGACUAUUGCGCAAUAACGCAAGUGAAGAAAAGACCGAACAGAUCCUGCGUGUCCAUGUUGUACGGGUUUGUCUCGUGAUCUACUGUGGGAUGCCACUGUCACCCCGGCUGUGGCAAGCUGCUGUGGUGCUGCUUCAAGCUUCAAAGACUGUAGUCCUGCCCGCAGCCCUAAUUAGAGGGUGCCUGCUUGGAGCUGGGGAUAAGCUAGCGGAACGUGUGCGCAAGUGCACACACUAUGCUUCAGCAGCAGUAGGCUGACAUGGAUGAAGGGAAGGGAUAGCAUCCUACUCUCAUCUGUCUCAUAAUAGUCUCUCUUUCUUUAUAUCUGUUUGUAUCUCUUUCUGUCAAUCCAUGGCACAGGCCUGGAAGGAAACCUUUAGUGCUGUAGAUGUAGCCUAUCUGCGACUGUAGCUGUAGGGAGUCUGGGCCUCCUGUCUGUAUAUUUCUCUAGGCCCCUCACCUUUUUUAAGACAAGCUUGGACGAAGAUGUGUUAUAUGUGCUUUAUGCAAAUGACCUGAAAAAAAAAAAAAGAGUAAAUGUAAAUUACCCAAAUUAAAAUCUUGCUUGUGUAAUUUUCCAAUUCUACCAAUAUUACAAUAUUAAAAUAAACUUUCUUUAAAAGUAAUUUAGAUUUGCGUUGUGUUGUGUUUCUACAUUGCUUCUGUUUUCAGUCUCCUUCCUUUCUUGUCUUUUAUGGUGAGCAGAUUUUUGUGUCUUUCCUGGCAGUAUGACUCGAUCGGCAUAUAAAACUUCUCACCUCUCGCAUUGUUUUUUUUUUCUUUUAUUGUGGCUUUAAAUUUAUUAUUUUACUGGAUCCUAAAAUCAAUCCUUUUGGUAAUAAUGUGGGUCUCCUUGGAUCUGUGGACCGCAAGAAUCAUUCCCACAUUUCUAGGAUAUAGUUAGUUUUUGGUUAAAAAUACCUGGAUGUUUCCUCAGUGUAAUGAUUUAGUGGACACCAGAGGAUUACUGCAACAUUCUUUCAUCAUUCCACAACUCUUAGCCAUUAGUACACACUGUGACGAUGAAUCAGUUCAUUAUCACGGCCACAUCUCCUCCUGGACUGUUAAAUGCUGCUUAUGAUCGGCACAGCAACAUAGUGGUCCUUUUUUGCUAAUUUUAACCUCUUCCCUGUCUGUCUUCAGGUCCCCUCACAUUCCCUGUCUCACCUAUAUAGGGAGGGAGACCCACAGGCCUGCAGUAUAGCUAAUCCGACCAUAGAAACACCCUUCCUGGACAAAAUAUACUUCAGAGAAGUGUAAAGAAGAGGAAAAAGUUAAAAGCAUUAUAAGAGAACAUGAUGAGAAGAAUGAACAAGAGAUUGAACAAGAGGGGAAAUAGUGAGAGAAGAGAUAAACAGAGAUAACCUGACACACAAAAGGAUAAACUGAGGGAACUAUUCCACAACACAGUAACAUUCGAGUCUAUGAAUGCACGUGGAAAGGUCUGGAGAUGAAAGGUAUAGCCUGAGUGAGGCUGAUCAGUGAUGUUAUAUGAGCGAGAGCCAGAGUCACUUGCAUCGCUCAGCACUCCGGCCCAAAAGCGCACAUUCCCACAUCCCAGUGCACCACUUUAAAGAGUGUCCCGGCUGCUCUGGUUCGCCACUCCCUGAGGAACUGCAACUCUGAAAUGGCAAAUAUCAAUACAUUCAUUAUGCACUUUAUAUUUAUACAUUUAUAUUCAUGCUUUUAUAUAAUCCUUGUAUUUUGCUGCUAAUAGUAUUUUUAGAGAGGAGAUGCAAGGCCGCACUAGACUGGCACAGAGACUAUAUGUUUGUCGAGUGGGUAUGCAAGACAGACAGAGAGAGAGCGAUUUGGUCGGCUGUGGUUUUUAAAGGGCAAAAGCAAUGGGCGCCCUGGUCAGUUCAGAGCACAGCUGUGUUGGAAAGAAACAGCCUCGAUCCAACCCAGCUGUGGCUGCUGGUGUGCUGCUGGCACGAGGCAUAUUAACCCAUCUGUAACAACCAAUGAGCUUUUCACACCGCUUAAAAACUAACCAACUAAUGGCAUGAGAUAUUUGUCAGCUGAGAGUAAAAUGAAUACAAAAAGGCUUUGGCGAGUAAAUAAUGUGGUUUUAGAGCCAAUCAACUGGUUAACCGUAUUAUGGAAUAGUUCACCCAACAAUGAAAAUUUGCUGUUAAUUUACUCACCUUCACGCCAUCUGACUGUGUGAACUAUGCCUGAACCAGAAACUGAACCAUAAUAUAUGAUUACAUCGAUUCAAGAUCAAAAAUCAAUUAUAAUAAUUCAUAAAAUGGCUCUGUGCAUGGUUGCCUCAGUUUGUAGCCCCUUGGUACUUUUACUAUUAAAUAGUAAUUUGUUUGCAUGUCCUGUUUUAACUAACUUUUUUUCCUAUACGCUUUACUAUGGACAAACUCCUAAACAUCGGAAACAGCACACCAAAUGCAUUUUUGCCAAUGGAAGCAUUCAGACAUUGUCUGUAUUUUAUUCACAUAUAAUUAUUUUUUAUUAUCUGUGUUGUUGUUGUCUCUGUGUGCUGGAUUCCUACAAAUUACUUAUAUGUGCAAUCAUACUUGGCAAUAAAGAUCUUUGUGAUUACAAAUUAUAAUCUGAAUCUCUACAAACCUAAACAUCACCAAAACAUCACUAGACAAAAAUAUCUUUGUUUAGUCUUCACAAUUUUUGACAGGUUUUAACCAGGAAGUAACGUAAUGUUCCAAUACCAUUUCAUAGUGGGUAAGACAUUUUAAUG